rnacentral:rRNA from 1 species
GAUUCCCCUAGUAACGGCGAGCGAAGCGGGAAAAGCCCAGACCAAAAUCCGCGGGUCUCUGGCCCGUCGGAGCUGUGGUCUUUGAGCCGGGGAUAUGCCAGCGGUGCGGACCUUCUCAAGUUUCUUGGAAAGGGGCCUCCCAUAGAGGGUGCUAGGCCUGUAGGUGGGGGGUUCGUCCGUUGGCGCUUCCACGGCCUUAGAGUCGGGUUGUUUGGGAAUGCAGCCCAAAGUCGGUGGUAUGCUCCAUCUAAGGCUAAAUACUAGCACGAGUCCGAUAGCGAACAAGUACCGUGAGGGAAAGUUGAAAAGUACUUUGAAGAGAGAGUUAAAGAGUACGUGAAACCUGUAAGAAGCAAACGGAUGAGGCCACGUUAGUGGCGUCGGUAUUCAGGUUCGCGGCUCCGGUGCGGCGCGGGGGUUUGGCGCGGUCUCGUAUCGUGCCGGCUUCUGUGUCAGCUGGGCCGCGUGCUGCACUUGCCGGCGCUUCGGUGUGGGGGACCGGUUGUCGAUGGACGAGCAAGCUCGAGGUGUAGGUAGCUCCGCCUUCGGGUGGAGUGUUACAGGCCGCGAGUGGGUGUCCAACGGCGACCGAGGACGGAAGGUCUCCCCUUGUCUGGUGUCUCUACCGAC